UACGUAGGGGGGCAAGCGUUGUCCGGAUUUACUGGGCGUAAAGAGCGUGUAGGCGGCCAAGCAGGUCCGUUGUGAAAACUGGAGGCUUAACCUCCAGACGUCGACGGAAACCGCGCGGCAGAGUCCGGAAGAGGAGAGUGGGAAUUCCUGGUGUAGCGGUGAAAUGCGCAGAUAUCAGGAAGAACACCAAUGGCGAAGGCAGCUCUCUGGGACGGUACUGACGCUGAGACGCGAAAAGCGUGGGGGAGCAAACAGG
rnacentral:rRNA from 1 species